UCAACUAUUUCUUAACUUACACAUGCAAGUCUCAGCACCCCCGUGAGAACGCCCUUUUAACCUUCACCAGGCCAAGGAGCUGGCAUCAGGCACAACCUCCCGCCCAUAACACCUAGUCUCACCACGCCCCCAAGGGCAAUCAGCAGUGAUAAACAUUGUACAUAAGCGACAGCUUGACUCAGUUAAAGAAAGUUAGGGCUGGCUAACCCGGUGCCAGCCGCCGCGGCUAAACCGCUGGAGCCCAAGCUGAUAAUCAUCGGCGUUAAGCGUGAUUAAAGUCUUAAUCAAUUAGGGUUAAAUUAAUGCUUAGUAGUGAUAAGCUUGCCAUUAAGAAAACCAUAAACGAAAGUUACCCUAAUAAAUCUUGAAUACACGACAGCUAAGAACCAAACUGGGAUUAGAUACCCCACUAUGCCUAGCCGUAAACAAUUAAUUUACACUAAUAAACGCCAGGGAACUACGAGCCAUGCUUAAAACCCAAAGGACUUGACGGUGUCCCAUUCCCCCUAGAGGAGCCUGUUCUAUAAUCGAUGACCCCCGCUAUACCUAACCAUUCCUCGCUUUAUCAGCCUGUAUACCUCCGUCACAAGCUUACCAUGUGAACGUCAACAGUAAGCCUAAUGGUUAACCUAAACCAACAUGUCAGGUCAAGGUGCAGCUUACGAAAUGGAAAGUAAUGGGCUACAAUUUCUAACGUAGAACAUAACGGAAGGCUAUGUGAAACCAUAGCAUGAAGGCGGAUUUAGUAGUAAAAAGAAAAUAGAGUGUUCUUUUUAAUGUCGGUUCUGGGACGCGUACACACCGCCCGUCACCCUCUUCAAUAGCUCCAACCUAGAUUUAUAAUCCCAUAUUUGCAUUUU
rnacentral:ncRNA from 1 species